rnacentral:rRNA from 1 species
UACGGAGGGUGCAAGCAUUGCUCGGAAUUAUUGGGCGUAAAGGGUAGGUAGGUGGUCUCAUUUGUCUGGGGUGAAAGCCUUGAGCUUAACUCAAGAAGUGCCCCAGAAACGGUGAGACUGGAGUCCUGGAGAGGGUCGUGGAAUUCCCGGUGUAGCGGUGAAAUGCGUAGAGAUCGGGAGGAACACCAGAGGCGAAAGCGGCGACCUGGACAGGUACUGACACUCAACUACGAAAGCGUGGGGAGCAAACAGG